GGUCUAUGGGUGAUUGAAACAGACAGAACCAAAUCCAGCCCUCAAGAAUCUUCCAAGGUCUACUAAUGAGGGCAAUACCCAGCAGAUGUAUACUUCAUCGUUCUGCAAACUGGAAAACGAUGCUUUGAGUAUCCUUGAAUAUUUAUCCGGAGGCACAUGCAAAAGAGCUUUUCAC